rnacentral:lncRNA from 1 species
UUUUUUUUUGCUUUUUUUGUUUUAUUUUUCUCCUUUAUUUUUGCCCCAACUUCUAUUUUUUGAGGGCAUGGACCUUUGAUAAUUCUUUUCUUCUUUUUUUUUUGAUUUUUUUUCUUUAUCUUUUUUUUCAUUUUUCAUUUUUCGUUUUCUGACUCUAAACUUUAUUCCAAAAGAGGGUAGUCAAAGAAAAUAACACAGGCUCAAAAGGGGUAACAAGGAUAUAAAGUGUUUGGAUAUAAGAAAAAAGGGCCUCCCAGCCUCGAGAACGCCAAACGUAGUAUCCUUUCGUAAUCACGACAUUGAUGAACAUGUCUGUCUUGUUGGUGUUUCGUGGUCACAAGACACUUUCCAUCCAUUAACGUCAAACUUUGUAACAAUCUUCAAUUGAUUCUUCCUCAAGACCGAUCUUCGCAAUGAUUCAAAGGUGACUUUUACUCGACCUUAAUUACCAAGUAUUUCAACUCUAUAUUCAUCCACAAAAGUUCUUCUUUUUCUUUCAGUUAUCCAAUUCCACACUAAAUCGAUUUCUAAGAUCUGGCCAAAAUUUCCGCAUGCAUGUCAAGUUAUUGAAACUAGCACGAAAAGAACUAAGAACAAAAUGACAUAAAAGGAAAAACUGUAUUUUAUUGAGUAAAGGAUGAAAGGGUUUGACAACAAGACAAACAACCUAAGAUCCGAGUUACGAACCUAAAAUAACCCGGAUAAUAAAAGUAGCAACAAAAUAGACAGACAUGACUCAUACAAACAAGAUAGAAGGGUUUGACGCAAUAAAACAAAAUAAAAUCUGGAUCACAACCAUGAAAUUACCCAAAUAAUAGAAAAAACAUCAAAACAAGCAACCAAGAUUCCUUCCUAGUUAGGAGAGAAUGACUUUUCAAUUGCUAAGCUUGACAUUUAGCCUCAAAAUUGCUCAUCAGAAUCUUCAUGGUCUUCUUCAAUUUCAGUCGACAAGUUUCCGAGAGGACUCUCAUACUCCAUUUCACCAGGCGUCAUCCCCACAAAGUGUGCAUCAUCAUAUGCAGGUAAAGGAUUCUGUGUGAUAUUCUGAGGGUCGCUGUCUUGGAUCACAAUCAGGUUUUCUUGGAUUAUCCUUUCUAUUUCUCUUUUCAAAUCCCGGCAACUUUCAAUAUUGUGCCCUUGGGCAUUAGAAUGGUAUUCACACCUUUUGGAAGGGUCAAAACUUCUUGCACGUGGGUCCACAUGAUUUGGAGGAUGGGUACAACAUGUCAUGAUGCUUUAACUUCUCAAAUAAGCUUGCAUAGGACUCUCCUAUUGGAAUAAAAUUAUCCUUCAACCUUUGUUCCCUUCUAUACCCCUGGCUUGGAUAUGGCUCAUAAGGCACUUGAACAUUUUGUGGAGGCUGGUAGAGAUUUUGCACUGCUCGUGCUCGCCUUCUAGGGUGUCUUGGUGUCUGGGCAUCAUAUUGAGGUGCAACAACAAAGUAUUGAGGGUUCUGAGGUAGAUAAUAUUGCUCAGGGGAGUCAUGGAAAACCUGAGGAGGCUGAUCAUACCUUCAAGACGUUUUCGUGGGACCUCUUCUCGACCCUGGCAUCAUCAUGAUUUUUUUAACCUUCUCAUUCAGCCAAUAAAAUUACCAAAAUUAUCUGAUUCAAUCUGGUCAACUUGAGUUGCAGCUUUGAGGAACUUCUUGACUUAUAAUUUUUCCUGUCUUAACACCAUAUCAACCGUUUCCCCAAUUUUGAUUACUUUCGAGAAGGAUUUACCCACAACGGAUAUCAUGUUUUAAAAAUAAUUCGGCUCUUGAGCCUGAAGAAAGACAGUGAUGAGCUCAUGGUCAUCCAUGGGUGGCUUAACUCUAGCUACUUGUUUUCUCCGUUUAAUAGCAUAUUGCCUGAAACUUUCACUUGGUUUCUUAUUCAGGUUUGAAAGGGAAUUGCGGUCUGGGAAAAUGUCAAUGUUGUAUUGGAACUGUUUGACAAAGGCCUGUGACAUGUCAUCCCAGACGUACCAGCGAGAUGUUUCUUGAUCCAAAACUCAUUCGGAUGCUACUCCCAUGAGGCUUUCCCUAAAACAAGCUAUGAGCAAUUUUUCAUUUCUUCAUGCACCUCUUAGCUAAUUGCAAUACCUUUUCAGGUGGGCUAUUGGGUCUCUAUGUCCAUAAUACUUUAUAAGUUUGGGAGUCUUGAAACCAGGCAGCAAGUGGACAUCGGGGAACAUACAUAGAUCUUUGAAGGCAACACUCUUUUGACCUGCCAACCCUUGCAUGUUUUUCAACCGUUUUUCUAAGCUUUUCACUCUUUGGGUCAUUUCUUCUUGUAACAUCUUUUGGGCAGGCUUCUCAAUGUUAACAGGAAGAUCAAACAAGCACGAGUAGUAUUAAGGAGAGUAGUACUGCUCUUGCUGUGCAGCAGAUUGUGACUUACUACAAGGUUCUCCUUGGCCAUUGACCCAUGCUUGACACAUUUUGAUCAUUUGCUAUUUCAGUAUUUUAUUUUCCUCAACCAUAGUAGACUCUUGUUAAACCCUCUGACCCUGAGUCUCUCGAGCACUUGUAAGAGCUUCGAUGUCAGUUAUCAUUUUUCCUUGAAUCUUGUGUUGUCUGCUUACCAAAAACUGACCACCUUAAACUUGCUUCACAAUUCAAAAUAACAGACAUGUUAGCAUGGAUUCAGUUAGUCUUUAUUAUAAUCAACAUUUUUCUUUUUUGUUUUUUAUUUUUUUCAUUUUUCGCAUUUUUCUUUUCCAUGAUUGAUCAAACCUGAUGUGGGUUGCCUACAUACCAUGACGCCGCAUGAACCAGAUCUUGCGUAGUUCGGGAAGAUUAGGAAUAGAGAAAAUAAACUAAAUUUAUGUUUUUCUAGAUUUCAAAUUUUCUCCAUUUUUUUCACUUUUUUUUUCAAAAGAAAGACUUAUAAAGAAGAAAGAGAAUAUUUUUAGAUUUUGACUUUUCUUCAGCACUUUUGCAAAGAAAGACUUCUAAAGAAAAAAAAAUUCCUUUUUUUUUCCGUCUUUUAUUGCUUUUUUGGAAUUUCAAAAGAAAAACUUCGAAAGAAGAAAGAAAAAUAUUUUUGCAUUUAUAGAUUUUUAUUCUGAAGUUAGGAAAAAAAUACUUCUAAAGAAAAAGAAAGUAUUUUUGAAUCUUGAAUUUUCUUUUCAAUUUUCGAAAGAAGAAUGAAAAUAUUUUUGAAUUUUUAGAUUUUCUUUUUCAAAAUUUUGAAAGAAAAACAUCUAAUAAAGAAGAAAUAAAAAUAUUUUUACAUUUAUGUUUAUUCUGAAGUUAGGAAAGUAGUACUUCUAAGAAAAAGAAAAUAUUUUUGAAUCUUGAAUUUUCUUUUCAAUUUUCGAAACAACAACAACAACAACAACCCCGUAUAAUCUCACUUAGUGGGGUUUGGGGAGGGUAGUAUGUACGUAGACCUUACCCCUACCCUUGGGGAGAGAAUGAAAAUAUUUUUGAAUUUUUAGAUUUUGUUUUUCAAAAUUUUGAAAGAAAAACUUCUAAAGAAGAAAGAAAUACUUCUAAAUAAAAGAAAAGAUAUUUUUGAAUCACACGAAGUGCACCCUUCUCUAUGAUGUAGAAGAUUCAGAGAGUGGAAGGGCAUCGUACCAGUUUAUAUAUAUACAAUUCACCAAAUAUCAAAUCGGUAAAGCAUUUAGCACAUUUGGCAUGAACACAUGUAGGAAAAUCAGAUAAGAGAUAAAGCCAAUCAUAACAGCUAUUCUGAGCUCGAGUUCUUGAACCCUGAACUGAAGUUCCGGGUUCUGUCCCCAAUAGAGUCGCCAGAGCUGUCACAUCUCCUUUUUUACACACCCACCCCGAAGGGUAGUGUAUAAGGAAAUUUUUCUAAUUUAAGUGACAUUAUUCAAAAUGGGAUUAUCUAAUUUUUUCAGAGUCGCCAAUUGGGAUAGUUUAUUUUCUGGUGUCCCAAGUCACCGGUUUAUUUUAAAAUUCUAAAUCGAGGAAAAGUCGACUUUUCUUUUAAAGUCUGCGAACCAGAAAUUCUGAAUGAAUUCUAUUAACCCGGGGGAAGGUGUUAGCACCCUCAGAUUCCGUAGUUCUAGCACGGUCGCUUAAACUAUCAUAAUUGGCCUAUUAUCUGAUUUAAAUACAUUUCGUAGCCUUAUGGUAUAUUUUAACUUAUUAAAUCACAUUUUAAAUUAUUUUUAGGAAGAUUCAAUGUCAUCUAAAAUAUGUCUUGAACCACAUCACAUGAAAUACACCCACAGUCUACAACACAUUUUAUCUAACGUUGUUUGGAUUUGGGUCACACGAAAUGCAUACCCGAGUUUAGGAAAGUAAUUUUUUAAUAGUGCGGCUAAAGUAACUUCACACUUUAAUUAUUUUCUUAAUUUUUGAGAUUAUUAUGAUGCCAAAUUUAUGAAUAAGACAUUAUUGAGGCUAAUAGGCUAGCUAACUUGAUCUAUUACUUGGCUAGAAACAUUAUGGUCCCAAAAUCACCUUAUGGCCCAUUCGUAUUCCUUGCCAAGAAAGAAACAAGUCCAAAAUUUUCGUUUACCCAAUUAAAAGUACUUAUGUAAGAACAAAGACUACAUACAUCACAAUCAAAAUACAGCUAACUAACAAUUUAAAUGAAAACUAAGACAUACUACUUAAACAAUGUAAAAUCUCAAAUCAACCCACACGUGCACCAAGCUAUCAUAAAAUAAUAAAGUGAGAAUGAAAAUUGAGAAAUGAACCUUUUAUUGAUGAACAAAGUUGAAAACUGAAAGUCAAUCGGGCUAAACAAAGUAACAAUCCUUGGACUGAAACACCAAAAUUACAAAUCGGAACCUCAACUCGACACAGAAAUCAACCUCAGCGCGCGACUGAACACUGACGCCAAACCUCAAACUCCACCAUCUUUACCCAUAUGUUUUCCUUCCAUUUUGGCUGAUUCCAAAAAUCAACUCCAACACUACAAUUUUUCUGAUGGAUUUGAAUCUAAAAUUGAAUUAAAGUUUCUGUCCAAAUUCUAUUUCCUCCAUCCUUGUGUGCGUGUUGUUUGUUUUUUAGUUUUUUGUGUUUGUAUUUCUUCACUAAUGCCUGGAAUAAGUGAUAUUACUAUGUAAUUCAAUGGUUCAAGUGAACCUAAGACCUGACUAUUUGUUGCUUCACUAGGCUCGGCCAAACUUAAAUUGGAAAUGCCUCAUAAAUUAGCAUAUUUUAUUUCAUAAAGGGACGAUACUAAUUCCUCACAAAUGCCUUGAGGCAUGACAAAAUUUCUUCACCUAUAGAGUUACGGAGAGAGAUCGUUGAGUGAGGGUGGGAUACUUUUGCUAGGUUCGAAGAUUUUCUACUAUUCUGCCGUUUUUUGUGUCUUAGCUAGGUCUAGGAAUUGAAACUUAGGAUACAGUCUCUAUAAUUAGGUAUUUUAUAUGGAGGUGGGAAGUGAUGAUUACCAUUAGAUUAGAAGGAAAUUGAUGGUUAGGAUUAAAUCUUGCACUUAAGUGGGCAAAUGAGUUGUGAAGAAUGAACUAAGAGUAAUUGGAUUGGAGUGUUGGACUAUGUCUUUUGGGUUUGAACUUGGGUUAAAGAGACCAAAUAAUACAAUGAAUCUAUAAAAAUUUAGGGAUCAUUCUAAGUUAAAACAAGGGACUUUUACAUAUAUAUACCAUAUAACAAACCUUAUUACCAAAAUUGUGUAUGAUUUGGUAUUUACCCGCCUAUACCAUGUUUUGUUUACAAAAAUUGUACCAAACCAAAAAUAGAUAGAUUCUACCAUAAAAAGGCUACAAAUUUGUAGGAAUCACAUUUAAUGGUGAUUCUAUCACCAUUAAUUUCGAAAUUUAUGUAAAAAUCUGGAUUUAAUGGUGCUAUCACCAUAUUAAAAUGUGAUUACCCUGUUUAAGGACUUAUUACUGCUACUAAGGUACUGUUUUUCUUUUUCCGGACAUGUAAUUCUCCUUUUGAUUCAAUGAGAACAUGCUUAUAAUGCUAAGACAAUGAUAAUGAAUGUGUUUCUCUGUGGGAUUUAACACAUACUUCUGGAUUUAAUGGUAAACAAUAGCAUACGCAUCGUUAUAUAUAUGAUUACCAUUAAAUGUAAAAAUCUGGAUUUAAUGGUAAACAAUAGCAUACACAUCGUUAUAUUUAUGUAAAAGUUUGUAGGAAUCACAUUUAAUGGUGAUUCUAUCACCAUUAAUUUCGAAAUUAAAAACGGAAGAAAAUCUAUUGCAGCGUAAUUCUCUCCUUCUCCAUAUAUUUUCCACCAUUAAUAGCCAUAAAAAAGCUUGAAAACUUUGAAUUCAAAUUUGGAUUUUCAAAAAUCAUUAUUUGUUUGGAUUGGNNNNNNNNNNNNNNNNNNNNNNNNNNNNNNNNNNNNNNNNNNNNNNNNNNNNNNNNNNNNNNNNNNNNNNNNNNNNNNNNNNNNNNNNNNNNNNNNNNNNNNNNNNNNNNNNNNNNNNNNNNNNNNNNNNNNNNNNNNNNNNNNNNNNNNNNNNNNNNNNNNNNNNNNNNNNNNNNNNNNNNNNNNNNNNNNNNNNNNNNNNNNNNNNNNNNNNNNNNNNNNNNNNNNNNNNNNNNNNNNNNNNNNNNNNNNNAGAUAAGUUGUAGAUAAAUUGUAGAUUGGGAAGAUAUGUUUAGGAGUUUAUAUCUCAAUUUUGAGGGGUUUUGGUGAAGAUUAGACUUGGUUUUUACUGAUUUUUAGAUUGAAACUCGUCGAAGAAGAAGAAGAUAUAUUUUUCCAGAAAUUAUAGUUCAAUUGUAGAAUUGUAGAUAAAUUGUAGAUAAGUUGUAGAUAAAUUGUAGAUUGGGAAGAUAUGAACUUUUACAAGUCUUUACAAUUAUGUCGAAAACGCCAAUUAUGCUACAAUUAAAAAUCCCUUGGAUUGGGUGUUGUUGUAAUUAAUUAGAAAUAUGUUUAGGAGUUUAUAUCUCAAUUUUGAGGGAUUUCGGUGAAGAUUAGACUUGGUUUUGACUGAAUUUCAGAUUGAGACUCGUCGAAGAAGAAGAAGACAUAUUUUUCCAGAAAUUAUAGUUAAAUUGUAGUUAAAUUGUAGAAUUGUAUAUAAAAUAUAGAUAAUUUGUAGAUAAUUUGUAAAUUUAGUUAAAUUGUACUGUUACAUUUAUACUACAAUUAAACUACAAUAUUGUGUCAAAAAAAUUUUAGCAUACCAAAUUUAAUCUAUUCUUAAUAUUCAAAAUUUCAAUUUUGAAAAAAUCUUCUUUAAAUACAAUACUUGGAGAAGUAUUGUAUGAGUUUGAAGUGUAUGAGUUUCUACAACGCCUUCAAUUUGAUUUCUAUAANNNNNNNNNNNNNNNNNNNNNNNNNNNNNNNNNNNNNNNNNNNNNNNNNNNNNNNNNNNNNNNNNNNNNNNNNNNNNNNNNNNNNNNNNNNNNNNNNNNNNNNNNNNNNNNNNNNNNNNNNNNNNNNNNNNNNNNNNNNNNNNNNNNNNNNNNNNNNNNNNNNNNNNNNNNNNNNNNNNNNNNNNNNNNNNNNNNNNNNNNNNNNNNNNNNNNNNNNNNNNNNNNNNNNNNNNNNNNNNNNNNNNNUCUUAAUAUUCAAAAUUUCAAUUUUGAAAAAAUCUUCUUUAAAUACAAUACUUGAAGAAGUAUUGUAUGAGUUUGAAGUGUAUGAGUUUCUACAACGCAUUUAAUUUUAUUUCUAUAAUAACAAUUGGAUUCUUAGUCACAUAUUUAUAAAUAUUUAUUAAAUUAAGUUUUAUUAAAUUAAGUUGCCAUGUGUAUUUUUAAUAGUUUGCCAAUUGGCUUAAUCUGUUUUCAAAGGUAUAGAGAAAUAGGUUCACAUAGUUUUUUUUAUAGUUCAGUGCGCUAUUUCAAUGUUUCCAGUUUUGAACUCGUGAAGUCAUUUGAGUGAAUAAAUUUAGUUUGAAUGGCAUACUGAGUAGUGUUAAUGCAUAAUACUAGUUUGAAUGAAUUUUAAAAUCGUUGGUUUGUUCUGAAUUGGGGUUGUUAACUUGUUCAUAUAUAGUGCUAAAGGAAGUCUAGUAGGUUGGGGAGGGGAGUGAUUUUUACAUGGGAUUUUUAAAGAGAAGAGGAGGAAAAAAAGGAAAGGAAUAUAUGCUCCUAAAAUCAUGCCUAGAAUAAAUAAAGCAAUAAUUAUACCCUUAAUUUGAAUUAUGGUACAUAAAUUGAAAUUUGAUAUGCUUAAAUGUAAUAAAUACAAACCUUGUGGGUAAUAAGGUUUGCUAUAUGGUAUAGAUAGGUAAAAAUCCCUUAAAAUAAACUAGUAUAAAACUAAAUACUACGAUUGAAACUAUUAUUUUUUUAUAUUUUCAAAUAUUAUAAAUCUACAAAUAUAAAUAUCUUACUUGAUUUUAACUUAAAGAUAAAAAUAUUUAUUAUUUUAUUUGUAAUUUUUAUUUUUUGUGAUAAAAUAAAGUAAAAAAAGUCAAAAUUAGUUGAAAUAUCGUAUUAGUCUUAAACUAACUAUUUAUAUACUAAAAUAUAUAAAAUCUUGGGGAGGAUAAAAAAUCACAUGUCUACGAUCAUCGAUAUAAACUUUCAUUGUUUUGCCUAUUUGUUCUUCGAACAUUUUGUUAACUAGGUAUUGGUAUGUAGCUCAUAAGAUUCUUUAGCCCGAAGGGCAUUAUGUUGUAACAAUAAGUUCCAAACUUAGUAAUAAAUAAAGUCUUUUCCUGGUCCUCGGGGCUCAUCUGAAUCUAAUUUUACCUGGAGUAGGCAUUGAGAAAAUUUAGGUUCUCGUUGCCAGUCGUAGCAUCGAUUGUACGAUCGAUGUUUUGCAAAGGGAAGUUUUGGACAUGUUUUAUUCAAGUCCUUAUAAUCUAUGCACAUUCUAGGUUUGUUUCCUUUUUUAGGAACUACAAGUAUGUUGUCUAACCACUUGGGGUACUUUAUCUACCGAAUAGAUCCUAUUUUAAGAAGUUUGGUUACCUCGUCUUUUGUGAAAGCAUGCUUUACCUCGGACUGAGGGCUCCUUUUUUGCUUCACCGGUUUGAACCUGGGAUCGGUGCUUAGCCGAUGCGUGGUGAUUUCCGGCGGAAUCCCUUUCAUAUGUAAAUGAGACCAAGCAAAGCAAUCCAUAUUAUCAAUAAGAAAUUAAAUGAGUUUUUUCCUGAGUUUGGGGGUCAAUCUCGUUCCCAGGUAUACCUUUCUCUCGAGCAUGUAUUCGAUCAAAAUGACUUGCUCCAGCUCCUUAAUAGUUGAUUUGGUUGCAUUGGAUUCUUCGAGAACGACAGAGGUUCGAGGAGUAAGGAAAGCCUUAUCUUCGUCUUCAAGUACAUGUAGUUCUGACUCCAUUAAGGCUGGAGGUGGUGAUUGCUAUUUGGCCGCCUACUUACCUUUGGUGCUCGAUUUCUCCGAGGUCUAAGGCUCUGGUAUUGGCACCACUUUUUCGAUUGCAAACAUUUCUUUUGUAGCAUGUUGCUCUCCGUAGAUUGUUUCACUCCUUUUUUCUAUUGGGAAUUUCAUUAUUUGGUGAAGAGUUGAAGGCACCCUCAUGCUGUGUAUCCACGGUCUCUCACGGAGUGCGUUGUACUUUAUGUGACCUUCGAUGACAUGGAAUAUAGUGUCUUGUAUGGUCCCAGCUACAUUUUCUAGCAAUAUAAUUUCUCCCUUUGUUGAUUCACUUGCCAUGUUGAAGCCAUUUAGGACCCGUGAUGCAAGUACAAUCUGAUCUUAUAGGGCGAGUUAUUUCACGACCCUAGAUUUGAUUAUGUUUGCUGAGCUACCUGGACUACUAAAACACGUUUAACUUGAAUUUUAUUGAAAAUAUAGAUUACCCGGGCAUCGUUAUGAGGCUGAGAUACGCCUUCUACUUCCUCAUCACAUAAUGAUAAGACGUCCUCAAGCACAUAACUCCGAGUCUAUUUUACUCUGAUGAUACUGGUGCAUUUGAAUACAUGCCAUUAAGGCACAUCGACUCCACCAAUGAUCAUGUGGAUCACAUGUUGUGGUUUUUCUUGCUUUCCUUGCAUCUCUCUCCCUAAUGUGAUUAUUAGCUCGAUCACUUAGGAAUUUCAAAGGUAACCCUCGUUGAGUAGCCGAGCCACCUCUUCCCUUAACUAUCUGCAAUCUUCUGUUCUAUGACCAUGUGUGCCAUGAUACUUGCACAUAAAGUUCGGGUUUCUUUAAGAAGGAUCUGUUUGUGUUGUCUUAGGUCACUUGGUUUCACGACCCCAACCCCGGCCAUGAUGGCGCCCAACACAUUGCUAGGGGAGCUCGACUUAUCAAUCACAACCCUUCUCAUACGGGGUUCAUUACCGACUAACAGAGUUUAAUUGCAAAAUUAUCAUAAAUAGAACCUGAUACAAUAGAUAAAAUGUGAAAAAAUCAUAAUAACACCACUACAUAGCCCACCGAUCUGGUGUCAUAAGUCAAGAGCCUCGAUUACAAGUCUUUAAAAUAGCCUAAAAUAGAGAUAGUUUAGAAAUACUAAAAGUAAAGAAAAUAGAAGGUGGAAUCGGGUUUGCAGACGCCAUACAGCUACCUUGAUGACUCUGGUGAAAGAUGAACAGCAUGAAAGAUCUCUCUAUGCCACGGGAGCACCUGAAUCUGCACACAAUGUGCAGGGAGUAAUGCGAGUACUCAGACUCAGUGAGUAAUGAAUAUAAAUAAUGACUGAAAGCAUGAAAGCACGUAAAGGCACAAAGCAAUUCUAUGUCAAAGCAGUAAAAUCACUUAUGUAGUAAACCAGCGAAGAAGUCGAAUGAAAUCUCUCCAAAUCAGGUAAAGCAGGUAGUUUAAUAGGUAAUAAUUAGUAGAAAUCCGCCCCUCAGGCUCAUUCUCAUCACGUAGCACUUAGUCUCACCACUCGACUCAUAUACUCUCAUAGUAGCAGGAAUCAGAAUAACCAUCCAUACAUCGGUGCGACAUGCAACCCGAUCUAUAUAGAUAGACGACUGCGCUCAUUGGGGGUGUGCAAACUUUGGAGGGGCUCCUACAGCCCAAGCGCUACAUUGUUGUGGCGCGCAGCCCAUCCACAUAAACAUUUGAUGCGGCAUGCAGCCCGAUCCAUGCAACUAUUUAUUGUGGCGUGUAGCUCGAUCCAUAACAUAUAUAACAUCCUCACUAUUGGGUUCUCAACCCCUCUCAGUCAUUAUAAUUAUAGCCUCUCAGGCACAAUAAUAUAAGUUAGGGAUCUAGAUCCACAUAUUUCUUUCAUUUAGGAUUCACAUUUCUAAUACUGGUUUAUAUUGUUUAAACAAUUAGAAACAUGUCCGAGGAUAUGAUUUAUAACAAGUAAGGAUUGGAAAUCAGUCAAAAUGCCCCUAAGGGUUCUACAGGUCGGCACAAGGUGCCAAACAUGGCAACUAGCCCAAAUCAUAUCGAUAACAAGUAAGUCUCAGUCAAAUAAAUAGUAAAUUCAUAAAUAGGGACGGACCAAGUCACAAUACCCAAUGGUACUCUACCCCACACUCGCUAUUCGGCAUCAGAGUUACCUCAGUAUAGCACUACAAUGUCAAUUCGGGGUUUAGAACCCUUAGGACAUUGUUUAACAUCAUUACUCACCUUUAACUGGGUAAAUAUCUAGCUCGCUAUGCCUUUGCCUCUCAAAAGCCUCCUCACGCGUCGAAUCUGACUAAAAUCACAACAAAUACGUCACAAUAGGCUAAGGGAACAAAAUCCAAGUGAAAAAAAUUGAAAAAUAUAAAAUAUUCCAAAAUUAGCAAAACCCGAGCUCGGUCCCACUUCUCAAAAUUCAGAAAAUUUCACAUCAACGGUUUCCUUAGCUCGCCGCGAGUCUAUGCACAUAAAGAACACCAAAAUCGGAGUCCAAAUGACCCCUCAAAUCCCAAUUUAAAAUCUCAAAAUCCCAAGCUCUAGUUUUUCCAUUUUGGCUAAAUUCCAAUGAAUUUCUAGAUUAAUUCCACAAAUAAAUCACAUUUUUAGUUCUUAAAACUCACCUCAAAUUGAUCCUCUUCGAAUCCCUCUUCAAUUUCGUCCAAAUAGCUCUUAAAAUGCUCAACAAUGGUGGAAAAAUGACUUAGGCUCGCAGAUGAAAUGUUUUUAAAACUUCUGCCCAGCUAUAGUAAUUUCGUCUAUGCGAUCGUGGCCCCACGCUUGCGAUCGCGAAGAGCAAACUUUCCAAUACUAAAAAAUGGAAUAUGCGAACGGGACCAAACGACUGCGAACGCGAAGGUCCAACUUUCACAACUACACGAACAUGACCCACUCUUUGCGAACACGAAGAAGAACUUACCUGGACUCCAAGGCCUUAUAUGGAGCUUCACCAUCUACCUCUCUGCGAUCGCGAAUGCCCAAACAUGAAUGCAAUAAAUAAAAAUCCUGCCUCCCAAAUUCCUUCUAUGAGAUGGCGAGGGACCUCCUGCGAUCGCGAAGACCAAAAAUCUUCUGCAAUGAUUGCUGCAUUUUCUGCAUUUCCCCAAUAUUCAAAACCUCCUAAUAGCCAUCCGAAAUCAUCCCGAGGCCCCCAUUACCUAAACCAAAAGUACCAACACAUCCUAAAACAUCAUUCAAAUUUUCCCCAAUCAUCAAAACACGUGAAACAACACCAAAACCAUCAAAUUACAUCGAAUUCAAGCCUAAGUUCUUCUAAAAACCGAAACACGCAUUUGAUCAACAAUCCAAUCAAAUCACCUCUAAAUGACAAGAAAUUUUGCACACACAUCCCAAAUCACAUAACAAAGCUGCAACAACUCUCAGAAUUCCAUUCCGACCAUAGAAUCAAAAUUUCACCUAUCAAUCGGAAAUCGCCAAAAUACUAACUUCGCCAAUUCAAGCCUAAUUCUAUAUUGGACCAGAAAAACCACUUCCGAUCUCACUCCUAAGUAAAAAAUCAUCCCCCGAAGCUAAACAAACCAUCGGAAAUCACAUCAGAGCCCUAUAACACAUAAGCCAACAUCCAGUUGACUUUUCCAAACUAAGCUUUUCUUAAAGAGACCUAGUGUCUCAUUUCCUACCAAAAGCUCACCAAACCAACUCGAUCACACAAGACACGGAUAAUGAAGAAUAAAGAAGCAGAAAAAGAAGGGAAACAGAGCAGCAACUCAUGAGACGACGGUCAGGUCGUCACAUCCUCCCCGACUUAAACAAACACUCGUCCUCGAGUAAGUCAAGAAACAUACCUGAAGCCUCAAAUAGGUGAGGGUAUCUGCUUCGUAUCUCCUGCUCGAUCUCCCAGGUAGCCUCCUCAACGGGCCGACCUCUCCAUUGCACCUUCACUGAAGCUACAUCCUUUGAUCUCAAUUUCCGAACCUGACGCUCCAAAAUGGCUGCUGGCUCAACAUCAAAAGUCAAAUCACGCAGGGACGGGUCUCCAAUAUACUUCUAGAGCAUAGAAACAUGAAAAAAUGGAUGCACACUCGACAAGCUGGGGAGCAAGGCAAGCUUAUUGGCCACCUUUCCGAUCCUUCGAAGUACCUCAAAAGUCCCAAUGAAUCGCGGACUCAAUGUCCCCUUCUUUCCGAAUCGCAUAACACCCUUUGUGGGUGAAACCUUCAACAUGACCUUCUGACCAACCAUGUAGGAUACAUCUCGAACCUUCAUGUCCGCAUAACUCUUCUAUCUUGACUGUGCUAUACGAAGUCUCUCCUAAAUUACCUUCGCCUUUAUCUAAAGCAUCCUGAACCAAAUUUGUCCCUAAUAGCCUAGCUUUACCAGGCUCGAACCAACCAAUUGGAGAUCUACAUUCCUCCCAUACAAAGCCUUAUACAUAGGCAUCUGAAUAUUCACUGGUAGUUGUUAUUGUAGGCAAACUCUACAAGCGAUAGAAACCGAUCCCAUGACCCUCCGAAGUCAAUGACACAUGCACGUAGCAUAUCCUCUAGUAUCUGAAUGGUGUGCUCGGACUGCCCGUCCAUCUGAGGGUUAAAAGGCUAUGCUCAACUGUACUUGAGUACCAAACUCUCGCUGAAUAGACUGGCAAAUCUAAGAAGUAAACUGAGUACCCCUAUCUGAGAUGUUGGAAACCAGAACACCAUGCAACCGGACAAUCUCCCGGAUAUUAAUCUCUGCCAGCCGCUCUGAGGAAUAAAUAGUACUGAUAGGAAUGAAGUGCGUGGACUUGGUCAGCCUAUUUACAAUCACCCAAAUAGCAUCGAACUUCUUCAAAGUCUGUGGGAGUCCGGUAACAAAAUCCAUACUGAUCCUCUCCCAUUUCCACUCGGGAAUAACCAUCUACUGAUGCAAGCCACCCGGCAUUUGAUGACUUAUAUUUCACCUGCUGACAUUGAGACACCAGGCUACAAACUCCACAAUAUCUUUCUUCAUCCUCCGCCACCAAUAGUGCUGUCUAAGAUCCUGGUACAUCUUCGCGGCACCGGGAUAAAUGGAAUACCGUGAGCCGUGGGCGUCUUCCAAUAUCAACUCUCGAAGCCUAUCCACAUUGGGCAAGAAAAUCCAACCCUGCAUCCUCAACACACCAUAAUCACCAAUGGUCACAUCUCUUGCAUCAUCAUGUUGAACCAUGUUCGUAAGGACAAGAUAAUGCGGAUCAUCAUACUGGUGCUCUCUAAUGCGAUCAUAUAAGGAAGAUCGAGAAACCACACAAGCCAACACCCCAUUGGGCUCCGAAAUAUCCAAUCUCACAAACCGAUUGGCCAAGGCCUGGACAUCGACUGCAAGGGGUCUCUCCCAAAUUGGAGUGUCUACCAAACUCCCCAUGCUCACUACUUUUCGGCUCAAAGCAUCGGCCACCACAUUGGCCUUUCCCAGAUGGUACAGAAUAGUAAUAUCAUGAUCCUUAAGCAACUCUAACCAUCUCCGCUUCCUCAAAUUAAGAUCCUUAUGCUUGAAUAAAUACUGAAUACUGCGAUGAUCAGUUAAUACCUUACAAGAUAUGCCAUAUAAGUAAUGCCUCCAAAUCUUUAAUGCAUGAACUAUGGCAGCCAAAGGGAUUUUCAUCCAUUGUAUCGCCCUUGACCAAGUUGACUCUCAAGACAGAUUUGACCACAGCUCCAGUAUUGGUUUUUCCAUCAGCUUCAGGUUCAUAUACCAUGUAUUGCGAUGCUUCGAAAGUUGGGAUUGAUUAUGUAUUGAUGUAGGAGGGUAGAGUUAUUGCUUAUGCUUCUCGUCAGUUGAAGACCCAUGAGAAGAUAACCUUCUAACCCAAAAAAUCCAUGAAUCCAUGUGGCUGAGGAUGGUCAAGGCCAACUCUGAACCGCCUCUAUCUUCUUCAGAUUGACCUGAAUACCAUCGCUGGACACCAUGUGUCCCAAGAAAGCCACUGAACUAAGCCAAAACUCACACUUGGAGAACUUUGCAUAAAGCUUCUCCUCCCUCAAUAUUUGCAAUACCACUCGCAAAUGCUUCGUGUGGUCCUCCUGACUACGCGAGUACACCAAAAUAUCAUCAAUGAAAACAAUAACAAACGAAUCCAGAUAAGGCUGAAAUACAUCGUUCAUCAAAUACAUAAAUGUUGUUGGGGCAUUGGUCAUCCCGAAAGACAUGAAAAGAAACUCAUAGUGAUCAUAUCUAUUCCUGAAAGCAGUCUUAAGAAUAUUUGAAUCCCUGAUCUUCAACUGGUGAUAACCCGAACGAAGAUCAAUCUUGGAAAACACCCUCGCUCUUUGAAGUUGGUCGAACAAAUAACCAAUGCGAGGCAGAUGAUACUUGUUCUUAAUUGUUACCUUGUUGAAUUGCCUAUAAUCGAUGCACAUUCUCAUUGUGCAAUCCUUCUUCUUGACAAAUAGAACUGGAGCACCCUAAUGUGAUACACUAGGCCGAAUGAACCCCUUAUCUAGGAGUUCCUGAAGCUACUCCUUCAAUUCUUUCAACUCUGCUGGCACCAUGCAAUAUGGCGGAAUAGAAAUGGGUUGAGUUCCCAGCACCAAGUCAAUACCAAAAUCAAUAUCCUUGUUCCGCGGCAUACGCGGAAGGUCUGCAAGAAAUACAUCAGGGAAGUCCCUUACACUUGGGACAGAUUCAAUGCUGGGAGCCUCAGCCCCAACAUCACUCACAAAGGCAAGAUAUGAGGGACAACCCUUCCCAACUAUACGCUGGGCCUUCAGGAAAAGAAAUCACUCUACUCGGAACAUAAUCAAUCACACCACGACAUUCGAUCCGCGGUACACCAGGCAUAGUCAAAGUGACUAUUUCAGCAUGACAGUCUCGAAUAGCAUGACACAGAGAAAACCAUUCCAUGCCCAAAAUAACAUCAAAGUCCACCAUGCUCAAUAGCAAUAGAUCAAGUUGGGCCUCCAGACCCCAAAUAGUCACAACACAUGAUCGGUACAUACGGUCCACAACAACAGUGUCGCUCACCAGGGUAGACACAUGAACAAGUAAAGCAAGAAACUCACGGGGCACACUCAAAUAGUGAGAAAAAUACGAGGAAACAUAAGAAUAGGUGAAACAUGGAUCAAAUAAUAGAGGCAUCUCGGUGGCAGACCGAAACAAUACCUAUAAUGAUAGCAUCUUAAGCAAUGGCAUCUGUCCUGCCUGGAAUAGCAUAAAAAUGAGCCUUGCCACCGCCUAAUCGACCUUCCCCUUUGGGGCGAUCCUUGGCUGCCUGAUCUCUAAAUCUAGCUGGCUGGGGAGAGAAGGGUGGUGAGGUAACUGGAGCAGAACUCGAGGGCUGACCCCUCUGCUGAUGCUGACUGUCACAGAGUUGAGGACACUGCCUCCUCAUGUGACAAAAAUCUCCGCACUCAUAACAACUAACCGGUGCUGGAGGUGGGUACUGAAGGGAAUCCCUCGCACCCGAGUGACUAGCAGAUGCACUCUGUGCCAAAAAACACUGAGUUGAUGGGGCACGAGAUAAACUCUGAGCUGGGAGGGCGCUGAGUGAAGACUGGCCUGCUGAGGCCUAUGAUGACCACGACCUGAAGAUGCCCAAGAUAAUCUGGACAGGACGACUGGGUAGGCCUAAUAAAAUGACCUUUACCAUGUUGGAACCUGAGCCGUGAAGGGGCACCACUAUUACUACUAGAUCCAUGAGGCCUUUUGGCCUCCUUCUCGUCUCACUCCUGGCAGCAAACUUACUUGAUCUCACGAGCGAUAUCCACCACCUCCUUGAACGUAGCACCCAAUACUCUAUCUCUGGUCAUCAGAAUACGAAGAUAUAGUUAAGGCCACCCACAAAUCUCCUGAUCCUCUCAUGAUCUGACAGAAUCAUCCAGGUGGCAUGACAAGCCAACUCCGAAAACCUCAUCUCGUACUGGGUCAUGGUCAUAUCUCCCUACGUCAACCACUCAAACUGCCUACGCAGCUCCUCUCUGCAUGACUGCAGUACAUACUUCUCCAAGAAGAGAGUUGAGAACUCCAACCAAGUAAGGGGCGUUUCAUCAACUGGCCUACGCCUCUCGUACGCCUCCCACCAAGUGAAGGCGGCCCAGUAAACUAAAAGGUGGUAAAUGCCACACUGCUAGAUUCAAGAAUCCCUACUGUACAGAGCAUCCGGUGACACCUGUAAAGAAAACCCUAGGCAUCCUCGCCCUCAACACCACUACAUGUCGGAGGCUGGAGUCUACCAAGCCUCUCAAGACGAUGUUGCUUAUCCUUCGGCAUAACUGGAACCCUGAACUCUUGCACUAGUGCAACCAGCUGAGAUGGAGGUGCCUCUUGCAUCUAUAGUCCCUGCACUACCUACUCAGGUGUGCAAGCUGUGGGGGUCUGGUUGCAUCCCCCGGCCUGUGAGGUAGCUGCUGCUGUGGUGGCUGAAACUGCCUGAGCCAGGCUAGUACAAACUGUCAAGAUCUGUGUCAAGGUCUCCUAUAGACUUGGAAUCACGAUAGGCACCGCUGGUGCCUGAGCUGGUAAUGAUGUAGCCUGAUCCGGAGCUAGGGCAGCUGGUGGAUCAACAUAUGCUGCCCUCACUACUCUACCUCUGCCACGACCACGACCGCAUCCACGACCUUUGGUGGCCUCAGUGGGUGGAGCUAGUGGUCGUCCACCUCGUUCGGUAGCUCGUGUCCUCACCAUCUAUGAGAGAAGUCGCAGGACAAGAAUUUCAAGAAUAUGAAGUUUUCCUAAAGGUUCUGCACCCUCUCAAGGAUAAAUACAGACGUCUCUCUACUAAACCGGCUCAUGACUUGCGAGACCAAGGUAACCUAGGCUCUGAUACCAACUUGUCACGACCCCAACCCCGGUCGUGAUGGCUCCAACACAUUGCUAGGAAAGCUCGACCAAUUAUCAAUCACAACCCCUCUCUUACAAGGUUCCAUACUGAUUAACAGAGUUUAAAUGCAAAAUUAGCAUAAAUAGAAGCCUAAUACAAUAGAUAAAAUGUGCGGAAAUCAUAAUAACAGCACUACAUAGCCCACCAAUCUGGUGUCACAAGUCAAGAGCCUCUAUUACAAGUCUUUAAAACAGCCUAAAACAGAGAUAGUCUAGAAAUACUUAAAGUAAAGAAAAUAGAAGGAAGAGUCGAGUCUGCAGACGCCAUGCAGCUACCUCGAUGACUCUGGUGAAAGAUGAACAACAUGAAAGCUCUCUCUAUGCCUGGGGAGCACCUUAAUCUACACACAAGGUGUAGGAAGUAAUGUGAGUACUCCGACUCAAUGAGUAAUGAAUACAAAUAAUGACUGAAAGUAUGAAAGCACGUAAAGGCACAAAGCAAUUCUAUAUUGAAGUAGUAAAAUUACUUACGCAGUAAACCAACGAAGAAGUUGAAAGAAACAUCUCCAAAUCGAGUAAAACAGGUAGUUUAAUAGGUAAUAACAAGUAGACAUCCGCCCCUCGGACUCAUUCUCAUCAUUUAGCACUCAAUCUCAACACUCGACUCAUAUUCUCUCAUAGUAACAGGAAUCUAAAUAACCGCUGCGGCAUGCAACCCUAUCCGUACAUCGUUACGGCAUGCACCCCAAUCCAUAUAGAUAGAUGACUACGCUCACUAGGGGUGUACAGAAUCCGGAGGGGCUCCUACAGCCCAAGCGCUAUAUUGUUGUGGCACGCAGCUCGAUCCACAUAAACAUUUGCUGCAGGGUAGCUCGAUCCAUGCAACUAUUUGCUGCGGCGUGCAGCCCGAUCUAUAACAUAUAUAAUAUACUCACUUUUGGGUUCUCAAACCCUCUCAGUCAUUAUAAUUACACCCUCUCGGACACAAUAAUGUAAGGUAGGUAUCUCAGCCCACAUAUUUCUUUCAUUUAGGAUUCGCAUUUCUAAAACCGGUUUAUAUUGUUUAAGCAAUCAGUAACAUGACCGAGGAUAUGAUUUUUAAAAAGUAAGGUGAGGAAAAUCAGUCAAAAUGCCCCUAAGGGUUCUACAGGUCGGCACAAGGCCCCAAACAUGGAAACUAGCUCAAAUCAUAAUGAUAACAAGUAAGUCUCAGUCAAAUAAAUAGUAAAUUCAUCAAUUGGGAUGGACCAAAUCACAAUCCCAACAGUGCUCACGCUCGCUAUGGUGUGCAAGUUAUCUCAAAAUAGCACUACGAUGUGCAAUUCGGGAUUUCAAUCCCUCAGGACAUCAUUAAACAUCAUUACUCACCUCGAACCAAGUAAAGCUCUAGCUCGCUAUGCCUUUGCCUCUCAAAUCGGCCUCCUCGCGCGUCGAAUCUGACCAAAUUCAGAACAAAUACGUCAACAUAGGCUAAGUGAAUAAAACCCAAGCAAAAACAAUCGAAAAAUAUCAAAAAUUCCGAAAUUAGUAAAACCCGAGUCCCGGGAACACUUUUCAAAAUUUAGAAAUUUUUAUAUCAACGGGUUCCUUAGCUCUCUAUGAGUCUAUGCGCAUAAAGAACACAAAAAUCGGAGUCCAAACCCCUCAAAUCCCUAUUUAAAAUCUCAAAAUCCCUAGCCCUAGUUCUUCCAUUUUGGCUAAAUUCCCAUGUAUUUCUAGGUUAAUUCCACAAAUAAAUCAUGUUUCUAGUUCAUAAAACUUAUCUCCAAUCAUUCAUCUUCGAAUCCCUCUUCAAUUUCUCCCAAAUAGCUCUCAAAAUGCUCAACAAUAGUGGAAAAAUGACAUAGGCUUGCGGAUGAAAUGUUUUUAAACCUUCUACCCAGCUACAAUAAUUUCUUCUAUGUGAUUGCGACCCCAGGCUCGCGAUUGCAAAGAGCAAACUUUCCAAGCCUAAAAAAUGGUCUAUGCAAAUGCGACCAAAUGACUCCGAAUGUGAAGGUCCAACUUUCACAACUACGCGAGCACGUCCCACUCUUUGCGAACGUGAAGAAGAACUUACCUGGACUCCAAGGCCUUAUACGCGAACGUGAACUACUAGCUAUGAAUGCGGAGCUUCACCAUCUGACUCUCUGUGAUCGUGAACGCCCAAAUGCGAACACGGUGACUAAAACUCGUACCUCCCAAAUUCCUUCUAUGCGAUCGCGAGGGACCACCCGAGAUUACGAAGACCAAAAAUCUUCUUCAAUGACUACUACAUUUUUUGCAAUUUCCCCAAGACUCAAAACCUCCCGAUAGCCAUCCGAAAUCACCCCGAAGCCCCCGGGACCUCAACCAAAAGUAACAAACCAUCCAUAAACAUCAUUCAAAUUUUCCCAAUCAUCAAAACACCUAAAAAAACACCAAAACCAUCAAAUUACAUCGAAUUCAAGCCUAAGUUCUUCUAAAACUUCCGAAACACGCAUUUGAUAAAAAACCCAACCAAAUUACCUCCGAAUGACCAAACAUUUUGCAGACACAUCCCAAAUCACAUAACUAAGCUAUAACAACUCUUGAAAUUCCAUUACAACCCUCGAAUCAAACUUUUACCUAUCAACCGAAAAUCGCCAAAAUACUAACUUCGCCAAUUCAAGCCUAAUUCUACACUGGACCUGAAAACCCACUUUAGAUCUCACUCCUAAGUCACAAAUCUUCCCACGAAGCUAAUCGAACCAUCGAAAAUCACAUCCAAGCCCUCUAACACAUAAGCCAACAUCCGGUUGAGUUUUCCAAACUAAGCUUUUCUUAAAGAGACCAAGUGUCUCAUUUCCUACCAAAACCUCACCAAACUAACUCGAUCACACAAGUCACAGAUAAUGAAGCAUAAAAAAGCAAAAAAAAUAGGGGAAACGGAGCGAUAAAUCAUGAGACGACGGGUCGAGUUGUCACACUUGGUGUCUUUGAUUCUCCCAAUAGCUGAGACAAUCCCUGAUGCAUCUACUGUGUAUUUGUACUUCGAUAAUUGAGGUGCCUCUGCAAGAUCGACAUGCUUAUCAAAAUUGUUUUUACUCAUGAGUCCGCAAGAAAUUUGACCUUCGCCGUUUCCCUGAUCGUUUCGAGGAGUGUUCCAACCCGAAACGUUGUUCCUUCGAUCGACAUAUGGUUUAUAUCAUUCUUUGGUCGAUCUUGAUUCGGCAUCCGUAUCCCUCAGGGGCUUGGCCACGUAUUUGUUAGGGUGAUUGGAACUCGAGAGGGCUCCCAGUUGGUCAUCCUCGAUCCUAAUUUUUGAUUAGUAACGGUUAUGCACAUUCGACCAUAUCAUACCUGGAUACUCGAUCAACUGCUUCAAUUGCCGAGACGUAAUCGAGCUUCUUUAAUUCAAACCCUACAUGAAAGCUUGUACUUCCCAAUCAUCGGAGACCGGUGGUAAUUCCAUUCUUUCUAUCUAAAACCUGGACAAGAACUCCCUUAACAUAUCGUUGUUCCUUUAUUUUAUUUUGAAGAGGUCCAAUUUUCUCGUGGCCACCUUUAUGGCCCCGAUGUGUGCUUUCACAAAGGAAUAUGCAAACAUAGCAAACGAGUCAAUUGAGUUAGGAGCUAAGUUGUGAUACCAAAUUAUAGCGCCUUUCGACAAUGUUUCUCCAAACUUUUUCAACAAGACCGAUUCGAUCUUAUCAUCAUUCAAAUCAUUCCUUUUGAUCCCGAAAGUGUAUGAAGUAAUAUGCUCAUUGGGGUCAGUUGUACAAUUAUAUUUGGGUAUAUCAGGCAUGAGAAAUAUCUUAGGAAUUGGCAUUAGAGCUGUACUCUGAGGGAAUGGGUUUUUAUGAACUUUUAGCAUCUAAACCUUUUAGCACUGGAGGUUUCCCUAGUACAUGGUCUACACGGGACUUAUAGGUCUCCACCUUUUUUUUCAUUUUCUUCAAUUUUAUUUUUUCCGGACUCGAUACUCUUAUUAAGAUCUUCGAGCAUCCUCAUAAUCGUAGGUUAAGUCCUCGAGACACUAUAAUCGGGCCUUUUACGGCUAGUUCAGUACGCCGAGUGGUUACUGGUUCAACUGUGUUUGGAGUUUUAUUCUGACUCUUAAGUUGAGUGAUGGCAAUUUGUUGAGCUUGCAAUAUCUCGAAUAUCACUUGGAGGCUGACUCCCCCAUCUCUUAUUCCUUAUGUCCUUUGGCCACCAGAUCGAGCUUCCCUGUGUACAUUAUCUUCAAGGUAUGUGCCUAAAUCCACGUUUAGAGCAAUAUCUGAACUAACAUCAAUCGGCUCCAUAUUUGGCACUUCCCCUUGGUUUAUCGGCGGUACACUGACCCCUGCAUUGUUGUUUCCUCCAAGACCUUCAUUGUCAUGUACACGUACAUUUUGUGUGCUAGACAUGUUUCAGUUUGAGAAUAAAAAAAAUCUUGACAAGAAAAAGUCUAAAAACAACAUGUGUAAUGAGAAUCAGUAAAGAAUAAUGAGAAUCAGUAAAGAAAUAAUCACUAUUAUCUAUAGCCCUACGGUGGACGCCAAACUAUUUACCUCGAAAAUAUGAGUAACAAUUAAAUUUGAUUUGUGGUUUUAAAGAUAUGUAUUUAGUUCAAUACUAGUUAAUGAUAAAGAAAUAUGAAGUAGAAAUGAAAGAGACAAGUGAAUUAAACUAGUGUUACUCAACAACAGUUACAUCAAGCUGAGUGACCUCAUAUGGGCUUAGAACAAUAAGAACAAUUAAGUAAGAAAAGUAAAGUAAGAACAAUAGAUCUGAAGGACAAUUUUGAUGAAUAGUAGGCAAAAAAGUAGAGGGUGUUUUCUUUGCUUAAUGAUUAGAUGGUAUUACAAAUAUUUGGGGUCCCCUUUAUAUAAUACGGGAACACUAAAUAAGCACUAUUUCUAUUUACGGUAAGGAAUAUUCUUGGUACAUUUGUAUAAUCGCCUAGUACGAAAUCAUACAAUCUUAUUCUGAGAUUUGCGCCAUGAUCUUGGGGACGUGGCAGGAAUCUAGCUCAUUUAGUUAUAAGUCCAUAACGAUACUAUUUCAGAGUCGAGCAUACUUGGCCUUGAUAUUCCUCGUACUUCUAUCUCCGGGCAUUGCACUCUGUCUUCGAGCUCGAGUCUGAUCCACCGGUCUCGAACUUGACCUUGCUCGGGCUUGGGCCUAAGAAAGACCCUCAAGCCUAUAAAUCGAAGGCGUAGGAUUUUGACCAUAUACAAAUAUUUUAAUGUCUUGUAAACGAAGUAUAAAAGAUUAGUCUAUAAAAUGUAUGAACUUUAUGAAGUAUUAGCCUGGAAAGAAAGGCUCUUAAUGUUCGUUCAUCCGUGUUUUCGUCUUAUUUUGAUACAUUUGCUUGUAUUAACAUAGUAGUUUUUAAAAUCCAAAUGCGCUUUUAGUCGAGGAAAAAUGUUGGGGACACUGGGUAGCCAUUUCAAAAUAAUAAGCGAUAUAUAUAUAUAUAUAUAUAUAUAUAUAUAUAUAUAUAUAUAUAUAUUUUCUCUAAGAUUUNNNNNNNNNNNNNNNNNNNNNNNNNNNNNNNNNNNNNNNNNNNNNNNNNNNNNNNNNNNNNNNNNNNNNNNNNNNNNNNNNNNNNNNNNNNNNNNNNNNNNNNNNNNNNNNNNNNNNNNNNNNNNNNNNNNNNNNNNNNNNNNNNNNNNNNNNNNNNNNNNNNNNNNNNNNNNNNNNNNNNNNNNNNNNNNNNNNNNNNNNNNNNNNNNNNNNNNNNNNNNNNNNNNNNNNNNNNNNNNNNNNNNNNNNNNNNNNNNNNNNNNNNNNNNNNNNNNNNNNNNNNNNNNNNNNNNNNNNNNNNNNNNNNNNNNNNNNNNNNNNNNNNNNNNNNNNNNNNNNNNNNNNNNNNNNNNNNNNNNNNNNNNNNNNNNNNNNNNNNNNNNNNNNNNNNNNNNNNNNNNNNNNNNNNNNNNNNNNNNNNNNNNNNNNNNNNNNNNNNNNNNNNNNNNNNNNAUAUAUAUAUAUACAAAAUUACAAAGUUUAUUUUUUUUUCGAUUAUCAAAUAUAAAUAAUUUCCGGCGCAGGCUAGAAGUGAGAAAGCCCAAAAUUAUAACUAGGAGAAUGAGGAAUCGGCUAUGAUUAUGAAAUAUUAAUAUACUUGUCUAUUUGGAUGAUUGGGUAAAUGGUUGAACCAAGGAAGGAUCAUUGUAGGGAAACUACCAGUUAUUUUCAUUUAUAAGUAGCUUAUUAUAAAAAUUGACCAAUUUAAAAAAUAUUAUUAAUAUUAGCCUAUUAGCUAUUUGUAACCAAAAAAGGCCAAAUAUUUAUUUUCUUUUGAGGGGGUAUUAUUAGAAUAGAUUGAGUACAUAUUAAUGAGCUUGAAUAUCAGCUUUGUAAUGAUUUGGUGAAGUUUUGAGGUGGUUUGAUUUGUGAAUUGAAAAUUUGAAGUAGAAGAUGAACAUGAAAAAAAUGAUAUGUAUCAUAUUGUGUAUCAUUUGUGCAUCACAUAUGUGUCAUUUGUAUUAAAUGUGUAUCACAUGCGUACCUGUGUGUGAGAUACAUGCGUGAUACAUAUUUGAUAUUGUGUUGCCGAAGAAUUUUUUGAACUCAAUUUUAACUACGAAAUUUGAUACCAAAUCAGUCCAAAUCACCUCUAAUCUUUCUCAAAUUUUUUUAUAUUGACCCAUCUAUAUGCGUGAUGAUCCAAAAAGUCAUUACUUAUUUUUAAAUUUAAUUUUGUAUUUUCGAGGGCUUGAAAACCUCUUUUACCCUCGUCUCGAUUUGUGUGGGCAGUCUGGGCACGUAACCGAAAAGCUUAAAUAUAAAAAUCUGUAAAGAAAAUGGUAAAAUUUGGUUAUAAAAUGAGUUAUUUUGACUUCGGUUAAUGUUUUGGGUAAAUAUACCUAGACCUGUGAUUUGACGGUCCCGGAGGGUUCGUAAGAAAAUAUGGGACUUAGGCGUAUGCCCGGAAUCGAAUUCCGAUAUCCCAAGCCUGAGAAAUAAUUUUUUAAAGAAAAUUAUUUUCUGAAAUUGUUUAAGGAUUUUGCUUCCAGCGCUUGGUACAGGUCUUAUAGAGGAUUUAAGGUAUUUCUGUAAAAUUUAGUGAAAACGGACAUCGUUUGAUGUGAUUCGGACCUAAACUGCUAAAGUUGAUACUUGAUGAAGUUUGAGAAAAAUUAUUUGAUUUUGAGAUUUAAUUCGUUGUUAUUGAGAUUAUUUUGGUAAUUCGAUCGCACGGAUAAGUUCGUAUGAUGUUUUUAAGUUAGUACGUCUGUUUGAUUAGGAGCCCCGAGGGCUCAGGUGUGUUUCAGAAUGUUUUGGACUUAAGAAACGUUGCAGAAUUUGUUGUCUGCUGGUGUCCAGAUAUUUUGUUCGAUGUGAUCUCAUAGCUAAGUCCACGAUCGCAUAGUGUAAUUUUCAGGGAUUCUAUUUUGUGGUACACGAUGGCAUACUUCCUUCCGCGAUCGCGUAGAGUUAAACUUGAGAGGUCCAUUUAUAUUCUACGCGAUCGCACUGUCUCCUUUGCGAUCGCAAUAUGUUAGCCCUACCCCCCACACCCAAGCCUUUUUUUCUUUUAUGCAAUCUCAUAGUAUUGUACGCGAUCACAGUGCUCAGCCUCAUUUACUCUAUCCGAUCGCAUCCCAUUGUCCGCAAUCGCGUAGGCCAAAUCUUCUCAGUAAUUUUUAAAAGUAUAGAAAAGUAGCUAUACGGGAUUUUCAUAAAAUUUCAUAACUUCUUCUUCUCCACACCUCUUGGGGCGAUUUUUGAAGGGUUUCUUCACCAUAAUCUCUUAGGUAAGAAAUGUUUAACUCAUUUUCUUCAAUUUCCAUUGACACCCAUUAGAUUUGUAGGCUUGAAACAUGUGAUUAAGGGUAGAAAAUUGGAAAUUUUGGUAGAGUUAGGGCUUUUUGAUUAUUUGAGAAUUUGACCUCGUUUUGGGGACGGAUUUCACAAAAAAUUAUAUAUACGGGCUCGUGGGCGAUCGGAUUCUUUGUGUUAGGUGUUGUAACGAGUUGGGUAUAGCUGAGGUAGUUAGGUAUUAUAACGAGUUUGAUUAUAGUUAAGGUAGUUAGAUAUUGUAACAAGUUUGGUUAUAGUUAUUUCUCCCUUGUCGGGAUGUUUGUUGAUAUUAUUGUUCCGUUAUCGGAAUUCCUUGUUAUUGUUAGCUUGUAAAUGGGAGUGGGUGGUACGCCUACCACAAGAUUUGAUAAAAUGGGAGCGGUUGACAUGCCUGCCACGAGAUCUAAUAAAAAUGGGAGCGGGUGGUACACCUACCACAAGAUAUAAUAAAAUGGGAGCGGGUGGUACGCCUACCCCAAGAUAAAAUGAAAUAGGAGCGGGUGGCACUCCUGCUUCGAGAUACAUGAAAUAGGAGCGGGUGGCAAGCCUGCCACGAGAUACAGGAAGUGGGAUCGGGUUGCACACAUGUAACAAGAUAUGAAAAGAAAGUAAAAUCUGCCUUUAUUUUCCUUAUUUUUACAAGAUAUGAUAAAAUGGGAGCGGUUGACAUGCCUGCCACGAGAUCUAAUAAAAAUGGGAGCGGGUGGUACACCUACCACAAGAUAUAAUAAAAUGGGAGCGGGUGGUACGCCUACCCCAAGAUAAAAUGAAAUAGGAGCGGGUGGCACUCCUGCUUCGAGAUACAUGAAAUAGGAGCGGGUGGCAAGCCUGCCACGAGAUACAGGAAGUGGGAUCGGGUUGCACACAUGUAACAAGAUAUGAAAAGAAAGUAAAAUCUGCCUUUAUUUUCCUUAUUUUUGCUAGUGGUUGGAUUUUGAUUCCUUUAUAGUUCUCUUGAUAUUCUGUUUUUACCUGUUAUUUCCUUAAGCAUGUUUUCUCCUCCCAUCCUUACUUUCUUAUACCUUCUUUACUUUCUGUUGUAUAUUAUAUAACUGCACAGGUUUAUUUGAUAGUUUGGUCCUAGCCUCGUCACUACUUCGCCGAGGUUAGGCUACGCACUUACCAGCAUAUGCGGUCGGUUAUGCUGAUACUAAACUCUAUACUCUUUUAUGUUGACCCCAGUAGUUAGACUUCGGACCGCGGUGGGAUUGCUGAUUCUAGCUCAUCAAGCGACGCGAGGUAGUCCUGCAGACAUCCGCAGGCUUUGGCGUCUUCUUCUAUCUACUAAUCCUGUUUCUUUCAUACAUUUUCAGAGAUAAUGUUGUAUUUAUUUCUUUCACACCUUUGUAUUAUUCUUAGACCGUCUGCGAAACUAUGACACCAGUUCUGGAUAGUUGAGAAUCAAACAAUUGUAUUUGAUAUUCAUGUCCAGGUGGUUUAUUAUUUCCUUCCACUUAUAUUAAAUUCUACUAUUUAAAUGUUAUUGCUUCGCAAUUGUUAAUGAAUAUAAAAUGAGUAAAUUAUUCACCUAAUUGGCUUGCAUACCUUACACUAGUAGGCGUCAUCACGACUCCCGAAGGUAGGAAAUCGGAUCGUGACAAUAUGUUCUUUUAUGAAUUUCAAACUUACCCAUUGAAAAAGGUCUUGUUUUUUUGCUUAUAAUUUUGGAAUCUUGUAUCUCAUCUUAGAAUUUCCUUUCCAUCUUGCAUCUAAUAUUACUAAGCACACUUAAAAAUAUGGAAGGAGAUCUUUGUAUGUGAUUCUUAGAGAGAAAGUAUUUUAUUUAUUUGGAUUUUCAAUUUUUAUAUGUGCUUGACUAGUUUUGAAUUUUGAUAAGUCUAUCAUUAAUUGCUAGAGGUUGGUAAGUUGGGAUAUAUUUGGAAAUUUUUUGUAAGUUCCCAUCAUUUUAUUGUGAUUCAUGACUUGAACAUGUCAAAGUUGAGAAAAUGACAGAACUCAACGAAUAAUUUGUACACAAUUAUCUCUAAUUCAUUUCUUGUUAUAUCUAAUUGCGAAUUAGUCAAAUAUCCAUUUUUAUUGAGGAUAACUCCUACUAGACCAAGCUUAGUAAUUUGAAUACUCGGUGGUUAAAUAUGGCUGGUAGAAGCACCUUAUUAUUUUUCACAUUGAACACCAUUCCAAAUCACGUAAUACAAACAUCCCUCCACUAAUAAAUCAUUAAAAAUUAGAUAAAAUUCAAAGAGACUUCUUAUGGGGUAUUAUUGGGGAAAAAAAAGCUCCAAAUAAUUAAGUGGGAUAUAAUUAUUAGAACUAGGGCUCAAGGUGGUCUAGGAAUCAAAAAGGCCAAGUCAAAAAAUCUAACUCUUCUAACAAGCCUUGCUUGGCGUAUUAUGAAUAACCCUUCAUCCAUUUGUGCAAAAGUACUAGUUAGUAAUUACAGGAAGAGUUAACAUACUAAAUGUGUGUCUCAUACUUGGAUUAGUCUCCUAAAAGGUUAGUCCAUUUGCAACCAAGUCAUCAGGUGGGCAGUACACCAAAACUCCAAUACAAAUAUUUGGGAUACUUAUUGGAUUUCAAAUAUUACACACCUUAGGGGCAGUGUAAUUGGCCCUCUAACAACAUUUGAGAGAAAUUUAAAAAUCAAAGAUAUUUGGGACAAUGACUCUUGGGACUUGGAAAAAUUUUCCUUUUAACUCCCUUAACAUAUUAUCAAUAACAUCAAUUCUUCAACUCCCAACAAACAAGUUAGAUCUCCUAAUAACCUCAUAUGAAACAUAAAUCCCGGUGGUGUUUUUUUAGUUAACUCUUAUUACAAGUUAAUUGACAAAGAAUCCCCUCCAAACAGUAACUUUAAAUGGAUUUGGGAUUUAAAAUGCCCUAAUAAACUCAAGUUUUUCAUGUGGAAAUGCUACUAUAAUAGGCUUUCAAGUCGGGCAUAUCUCAGUAAAAUUGUCAUGAGCGCUAACCCUAAUUGCCUGAUACGCAAAAACACUAAUGAAACUAUAUGCCAUAUAUUCUUGGAAUGCCAAUUUGCGAAAUCGUUUUGGGAAAUAUUUGAUUGCAACGAUAUUCCUAUACCAAGCACAACACAUUAGGUCUAUAAGAUCAAGAAUACUAAUAUCAAUCGAAUAAAUAAACAUAUCACGUGGGAAGAUCUUUUUUCCUUUCACAUUAUGGGCCAUCUGGAGCAAUAGAAACCACAAUAAUCAAAACAAUACCAAUAUCCACAUUAGUAUUAAUAAGGUUAUUAAUCAAGCCGUUGAAUACAAAUUAUUAACGGCCACUCCUACCACUAACAAUCUUCAAAGGACCAUUAGCAUCAAAUGGCCGGCUCCUCUAAGGGCUGGUAUAAAAUAAAUAUUGAUGGUGCUUUUACAAGUAAUAGCUUACAUGGAGGAAUUAGUGGUGUAAUUCGAGAGAGCAAGGGAUAAUGGAGAAUAGGGUGUCACACCUCCAUUUUUACACACUUACCCCGAGAGAUAAAUGUAUAAGAGAGUUUUUUCACUUAAAGUGACAUUAUUCAAAAUGGAAUUAUUUAUUUAUUCAGAAUCUCCACUUGUGACAGGUUUGGCUUUUGGUGUCCCAAGUCACCGGUUUAUCUUGAAUCCCAGAUCGUGGAAAUUUCGACUUCCCGAGUGAAGUCUGCGAACCAGAAAUUCUUGAGUAAGGAAGUUAACCCGAUGGAAGGUGUUAGGCACCCUUGACUUCCUUGGUUCUAGUACGGUGGCUUAAACUAUGAUAAAUGGCUUAAUAUUUGACUUUAAAGCAUGUCAUCCCAUAGUGUAAUUUUAAAAUUAUUUACCGCUUUUGAUUAAAUUUUAAAGAAUGUGAACAUCGCUUAAAACAUGUUUUUGGAUCAUGUCACAUGAAAUGCACCCGGAUCUAAAACACAUUUUAUUCAACAUUUUGGGAUUUGGAUUUGGGUCACAUGAAAUGCGCACCCAAAUUUAGGAAGGUAAAAUUAUUCAAGAGCGUGCCUAAAGCAACUAGCGUGUUAUUAGCUGUACAGGAGGCCAUAAAUAUUUGCUACACAUCUACUUAAAUAGAACUAACUUAGCAAGUUCACCUCAUACUAUUCGAACAGCAUAUUAAACAACACUUCUACACCUCACAUCUACACAUUAUUCUAUUCUGCCUUAUUCGAAAUAAAUGUUCAAAGUCCAAGUAUACACCUCGAAGAAAAAACAUGCUAAAAUAACUGAAGCAAACAAACAAAAAUUGAGCAAAUAGCUUUUCAUUCCAUCUUCAGAUGCACUUUUACAUCUGGAAAAAUUAAAAUAUGUACCUGGAAAUUGAAUGCAAAAUAGAAGGAAGGGAGGUCAGCAACAAAUUUUAACACCAGCAGUGAAGAUAUAGCAAUCAAGCAGAAGAAACAAUUCAGUAGCCCAGAUUUAUACUCCAAAACCAAGUUGAAACACAACAGAUUUCAAAUGACCCACUUUCAAACCCAGGCUUGGAUAUAAAACAGUAAAACAAAACUCCAAUCGAGCUUAUAACACAACACUUCAAUCCUAAUUCAACUAUUUCUAUAUUAAUAGAUUCAAAAUUGUCUCAACAACUGAAUUGAUCAAAAGCUACUGAAAAUAAUGCAAUGGAACAGUAAAAUUGCUAGUGUUUUAGGAGAUUUUGAUACAAUUUUUUAGGCUUCAAACUCUGGGAAAAUUAUAGAGCUCCUUUUCAGAUUUUCUUCAACCCCCUUUUGAGUGAUUAUUAAUCCCCUUUUUAUAGCCAAAGGCUAGGGCAUCACUCCUAUUUUGUCUUAACUAAAGGUGCCUUUUCAACUUUCAGAUUUUACAUAUUUGGACCCUCAUUUUUUGACUUGCUUCCCAAGUUACUGCAAUAGUACUACUGAUUUUGUAUUGAAGACCCCUUCUAGAAGGGUCUAAAGGCUUCUAACAUUUUCUACCCUUUAUAGACUAUCUAUACUACCCUUAUUUUGUUCCUAAUAUUACAAAAACCAAGUUAAAACUAUAUAUUAUCCUUAUUUAUCCCAAAAUUAUCAAAACUAGGUAAGAAAACCCUAUACUACCCUAAGUUACUUAUUUGGUAUCAAAACUGACCCCUAAUAUCACUGAUUCUUCUAAUCUUAACAACUAUAACCAAUCCAAAAUCAAUCAAUCGUCAAAAGUCAAAGUAGAAAUCAAAUCCAAUACUCAGCUUGAGAAGAAGAAUCAUGGAAGGCUACCACUACCAAAAUUGAAUUCAUGAAUCACAAACCUGGUCAAACUAACCCCCUAGCCCUGUUAAUUGGGUCAAACACACAAUCUAACAAAUCAAAACUGGCCUUUAACUCUUAUUAACACUAUGCCCUAGGGUCAUAGUUCAACAAGAAACUAUCAAUUAAUAGCAACCUUGACGUAAUUGAAACUAAAAUUAAAUUAACAAUUAUAGAUUAUUUAAUCGAAAAAAACACACAAUUAAAUACAAACUAAAUCAUAUGACUGCAAUGUUAAAGAAUCAGAAGCCUAAAUCAAAGAACCCUAACUCACAUCAAAAUAAAAGAAGUACUAGAACAGAGAAGCAUGCAUUGAAACAUAUUUACUCAUGCGAAGAGAAAGAAAGACAAACAAAGAAAGAAAAAGAUUUAGAAGACUGGAACGGGUUGGGGAGGAAUCGGGCUGGUUGGAGGUAUGUUUCUUGGGCUGGUUAUUUUUAUUUAUGUCUGGCCCAGAUUCGAUCACAAUUAAGACCACAUUUCCAGACUCUCUUUUCCUCUUUUUUUUUCAAAUUAAAUUCUAAAAUCAAAAUUAACUUUGAAUAGAAUUAUUCUACCAAAUUAAUUAGUCUUAGAUGGUGAUGGUCACAAAUAAUUAAAUGUAAGGAAAAAAAAUUGCAACGACUCCAAAAUUAAAACUAUUUUAUUUUUGUGAUUUUGUACUUUUGUAAGCUCCUAAUUACUAAUUAACUCCUAAAAUAUAUAAAAUUACUCUAAAUGCAAUGCAUAUAUAUUUUUCGUUUUUGUAUGAACUAAAAAUGAACACACGAAUGUAAACAACCACAUAAUUUAUGCAAUUAAAAUCUAAAUAUUCAAAUAAUAAAAGUAAGGCGCAAAUAAACACAAAAUCACACAAUUAAUAAGGAAAAAUGCAGAUAAACAUGAAAUCACACAAUUAACCCCUUAAAAUUCAAAUAAUAAAAUAAAAAUGUAAAUAUGCGUAAUUAAUUCCUAAUAACACAAAAUCACAUAAUUAAUUCCUAAAAAUUCAAAUAAUAAAAGGAAAAAUACAAAUAAACACAAAAUCACAUAAUUAAUUCCUAAAAAAAUCAAAUAAUAAAAGGGAAAUCCUAGUUUAACGAAUUUGUAGAAACAUUUCAAGUGAGGCAAAAUUACGUGCUCACAUAUCCAAUUUCUAAAAAUUUUAUAAAAGUAAUUAAGAGGGCCACACAAUUUAUGGAUUUUGUUUGGCACGGCGCACCUCGUUUAUUUUAAGGCCAUCCUAAAAGGAACUAUUAUUCUCUAUUAAGUGCUGUCUCUAAAAGGCCUAAUUAAUUGACAUUGUUAAUUACUGUCAUUAAAAACAUUCAAGGAAUUCGGGCCUCAAGCUCAAGUUCACACUUGAACAAGAGCAAAAUCUCUUAAUUCAAAUAUGCUACUUAACUUGGAAGGCCCAAACUUAUAUUAUGUUAACUAUUUCUAGCCUGAAUUAAGCUCUCAGCCCUAUGGGCCUGGAAAUCAGUUCAAAAAUGAGGGAAUUCAAUAAGGUCUUGCACUGAUUAUACAACGGGCCUAUUAUUAAAGGAAUUGGACCUAAUAUAAGAAUUUCAAGUAUGAAGUUAACUACUAUUAUUUGGGCAUUGCAUUUGAAACCAGUGUGAAAAAACAAAGUCCAGUUAUGGGCUGGGCGCAUUUAGCAUUUUAAAUUCAGAGAUACUAAUUAUUCAACCAAGACGUAAAAAUAUUAAACACCAGUGAUGGAUGAUUUAAACUCGUAUUUAGUUAAUAAGCCAAUGUCCAGAUUCAUCUUCAAGUUCACUGGCCGCACGACUUGAAAUGUGGAAGAAGAAUUAUGUUGUUCAUUUGAAAUAAAACCUCUCAUACAAUGUAUACAAUAGAAUAUGAGCUAUGUGAAUUUCAUAGACUAGUAGACUAUAUAGCAUGAGAUUCACACGAAGCUAAUACAUUCCUAGGUUUAUACAACUCAAAAUUUCCAGCUCAUUCGAAUGACUUCUAACAUUAGGAUCAUAGGCAAAACCAUGGCUAACUUUUGAUUUCAAAUUAACACACUACUUUGGAUCAACAUAGUACUUCAGAACUUUUGAUUUCAAACUAAUACACAACAACAUAGACACCAAACACAAAAUAAUGUGAAUCUAAUACUUCUAAACACAAUGCUUAUAUAAUCAUAAGAAGGAAAUGGAAUCAGUUUUAAAGUUUUAUACAUUUCUAAGCAGUCCAGUUUUCAUCUACAAAUGAAAAUCUACUGAAAUUCUAAAACUCCUAGAAAUACAAUAGUGACAAUCAAUAAAGAAAUCUGGCAGCAUUUCCAAUGUUUAUUUCCAAACUUGAAAGCUACAUGGUGUGUACCUGGAAUUUUAAAAGGAAUAAAAGAGUGAAGAUCAAUGAAGCAAGGCAAUAGCAGAACUUUGAACCAGCAACAAAACAAGGCAGGAAAAGCUUCUUAAACAAGAGAAAUAGCGUUUAAAUCCCAGUAUCAAAACCAGUUGCAGAUCAGCAGUAGAAUCACCCUCAAAAUUGGAUUUCAAAGCUAAAUCCAAACCAUUUUCAACAUCGUUGAGAUCUAGAGGAGGAUUUUAGAGCUUGACAGGAAUUUUCAACUAUUUGUGUGUAUUUGUAUUUACUUUUUUUAGGAUUUUCAGUAGUUUUGGAUCUGGAUUUUGAAUUUUUGAUUUAUCUAGGCAAUAGGAUUUGAAAUUUUGAAUUUUGAAAUUGUUGGAUCUCUACUCAGUUUUUAAUCUCUCCCCCCAAAAACUUUUUGAAACAAGGCAGGGAUAUGCCUUUUUAUAGGCAAGACCUAGGGCAACCUUUAGAUUUCUGGUUUACCCAUAAGUCCCUCGUUUAUUAAUUGUUUGGUCCGUAAAAUCUUGCCUUAUUACUCAAGUUUUAUCACUUAAACCCUAAAUUUCAUAUUAAGAUCCCUUCUGGAAGAUUCUAGUGGGUUCUAAGUUAGUUACUGUAGGAUUCUUCAUGUAAACUACCCUAAUUACCUUUAAAGUGUCCUAUAUUUACCCCUGAAGCCUCCGAUGGGCCAAGGUUUGACUCAAUGGCCCAAAUCUGAUGUGGAUAGGCUGAAACUUAAGACAAAUGUGUUAAAAACCAUUCCAAAAUCCAAACAACUUUUUACCCAUAUCGGAAAACUAACACUCAAUAAAUCUUUGCAGGAAUAGCCUAACUAAAACUAAAUCAAUUGGCCCUAGACCCUUGAACUUGGUCACAGGUUUGACAAUGUUCAGCUACACCUAAACACCGUCUUUAGACUAAUCAAGUUAGUCUCACUAAACAACCUGAAAGUUAACUCUAAAUAAAACCAUGACUUAAGGCUAUUUUUAUCAUUUAAACUAAUCCCUUACUAACAGGAAAAUAGACGAACCAAACUAAUUAAACAUGCAGUUGUACCGUAACGAAAAAAAACAAAAAUAAACGACUAAAACCUAGAGAAAAUCACAUCAAACAUGAAAUCAAUUAAACUACAACCCCUAAAUCUAAAGAAAACCAGCGGCAAGCAUGAACAUAAUCAAAUCCAAAAUAGGAAUAAAACUAAUACUAUACGGCUGUAAUAUAUGCAAAAUCAGGAACCUAAACUAAAAAUUCUAAUUUACAAAAAAUAAAAGAUGCAAAGGGAUGAACAAAAGAAACAUGCAAAUAGAAAGAAAAAAAAAUACACAAAGAAAAUGGUCAGGACUCACUGUUUCUCGGUUGAAACUUGGAUUGGCUUUGAGUUUGAUCCUCAGCUAUUAUUAUAUGUUUAUUUUUCCAAAAUAAACACAUAAUAUUAACCGGGGAUCAAUCGAAUGCAUGAAAAUCCCGGCAAGGCAGAUUUCUCCAAAAUCGAACCUUAGAUUUAAAAUCUAAGGGAUUAUACCGAAGUUUGAGGGAUUUUGGUUUGGGAACAUGGCUGAGGAUGUUGAGGAGACCAUGGGGUACAAUUUUGGAAGGGUUUGGAGUAGGGUGAGUUUUGGCCGGAUUUUCAAAUUGAUAUUCGAGGAGUUUGGUACUGAUUCGAGGCGGGAGACUUAUAGAUCUGGGGUGAGGGUGGCUAGGGAGAAUCUAGGGUGUUAUCUUGGAGGCGAUUGGCAUCGGCGCCGCCGUGGGCGACGGAGCAGUCGUGAUUUCAAACCAAUAUUUGACAACACCGGUUGAUAUUCGGGGACACUGAUGGCAGGGAUGGAAAGAGGGGGUCGAGGAGGUGGGGUGGUGUUUUGGGAGUUAUCGAAGCAUCGCCGUCGGCGGAGGCGAUUACCGGCCAGCGGAGGACGGUAGAGGGUAGUGGUGUUACGCCGGCGUGUAUUAGGGUUUGGGAGAGAUGGUU